UCGGAGGCCAGACCUACCUGUGAAAGAAGAGCAGGAUGGAGAGCAGUGUCUGGUCGAUGUUGCGGUUGCAGAUGCCCUCGUUGAGCAAGAAGCAGGGGUCCCGGACCACCGCCUCCAGGGAGUCCUGCCUCAUGAUGCUCCUCAGCUUGUCCGCGUUGAGGUUCUCGUACACCAGCUGCUCCCGGAGCUGGCGGAAGUGGCUGACGCUGGGGCUGAGGGGGCUGCCGGGUGGCCCUGACCCCGGCGGGCCCCCCCUGGCCCCGGCAGGGGUCCCGGGGUAGUCGCUGCCGCUGGCCAGGUCCAGGCAGCAGCUGCAGCAGUCCAGGCCGACCGGGGAGCGGCAGGCAUCCUCGGACAUCACCUCCAGGAGCACAGUCUAGCGCCUGGAGACAGAGGGAGGAGCCUCGAGACAGAGGGAGGAGACAGAGGGAGGCACCUGGAGACAGAGGGAGGAGCCCCACUGGGACCGAGGGGAGGAGCCCCGCUGGGACCGAGGGGAGCAGCCCCGCUGGGACCGAGGGGAGGAGCCCCGCUGGGACCGAGGGGAGCAGCCCCGCUGGGACCGAGGGGAGGAGCCCCGCUGGGACCGAGGGGAGAUCCACCAUCUGGCUGGACUGUGAUCCCCCAAGAGGUUAAGCAAUCUUAACUCGGCCUUUGGAGCUCCUGGGCCAAGCUUUCCCGCAACUCCUGAACUGUUUCUACAACGCUGAUCCUGCCUGUUUCCGAACCCUCGUCUGUCUGACCACCCGCCUGUUGUCGAGUCCCUGCCGGCCUGUCUGCUUCCCUGUUUCCUGCUCCUCGGCUGCCUGUCUGCCCUCCCGUUGCCGACCCCUCGCCUGCUGACCCACCGAUGAUUCCCUGCCCACCUGUUGGUGACUUACUGUCUGCUCUCUGCCUGCCCGAUCCUGUACCGGAUUAAAUCCUUGAAACUGUCCUCAACUGUUGUCUGUCCCUGCACUUGGGUUCUGCCUAACCCCCCCCCCCCAUACAAAACGAAAUCAAUGUGAGGUGGCACUAAAGCUGGUGAAAGAGCUAAGGCUUCUGGGAAGUUGUGAAGGACAUGGAAUAUUAACUAUGACAUCUCAUAGAAGAAUUCGGAUUGAGGCUGGUUAACCGAUAAGAGCCCUAAAUUACUUAAAAUGUCUUACUUGAGCCAAAAUACACGGAACAUCUUGAUAUUGUCACACAAUUUCAACUCUUUCAUCUUUUACAGGAAUUUGGGUUCAGAGAGAGAGAUCCUAUGAAUCAGAAUAUGGUUUUUGGAUUAUGAGUUAUAAAUGGCUGUUGCUUGGGGCCAACAGCCUUCCACCCCAUGACUCUGAUCCCAUCUGUUACAGAUGGCUCACUGGCUAGAGAGAAAAAGAGAGAGAGGAAGAUGAUUGGCUAUCAUUGGUCAUCACCACGUGUUAAUGUGUCCACUGAGGAAGUACGAUUUUGUUUGGUGAGCGUGUGAUGAGAAGAAGAUAAAAAGGAGGAUUGUUCAGCAGACGAACAAACAAAUAAAACAUGAAGUCUUACUGUUUCAGACAACAGGGAACCCCUCAUCUUCUCUGUAGGAAAAUACCAGGGUUUUCCACAGAGGCACAAGUAAUCAUUUGCCUAUGUAUUGAUUGGGGUCCAUAUAAUAAAUCAUUCCUCUUAUACUAAGGGUAGAAUACUAGGAUAGAAUAUAAGGGGUUGGCUUUGUUCAGGAGGUAGAGCGAUUUGGAUGGUAACUAGUAGAAGGUUUGAUCCCGGCUCCUUCUAGCUGAGUGUCGAGGUGUCCCUGAGCAAUACGCCUCAGCCUGACUGCUCCCAAUUAGCUUAUUGGCGCCCUUGCCUCCGCCGUCGGUAUGUGAUUGUGUGUAUAAACUGUAAUAUCUCAUAUUUCAAUAUGGAAAGGAAAGAUAAUAAUUUCACUAGAGAGCAAAUACCACCAAUGGAUUAAUUUAACAUUCAUGUUUUUCUUUCUUCCAAAGUAAGAGACACAAGCAUAGAUUUAGACUAAUGUGUUGUCCCUUUGUGUCCAAAGGCUAACAGAUCAACAUACACUGAAAGAGAAUUUAAUCGGUUGAAUCUGAAUUGAUAAGAUAGCAUUUUUGCUCUCUUAAAAAUAGUUUGACCCAUUCGAUUAGACCACUCCAAUAAUGUUAUGAUGGAAACAUACAGUUAUAAACCAGUCAUACCGUCCAUCAUACCUGAAGGACCUCAUCAUUUCACGGCCCCUCCGGUCUUCGGGAGAAAAAAGUCGUCUGGACAGAGAGCAUUCGCCUAUCGAGCGCCCUAUCUAUGGAAUAGUUUGCACCUGUAAUCAGGAAAACUGACUCUGUCGACCUAUUCAAAGCAAAGCUAAAAACGCACCUCUACAGCCUUUCAUUUGGAACAUAGGGGUGGGGAAAACAACACUGAGGCGAUGUAAAUAUCGAUUGCUCUUGCUUUGUUCUUGCUGUUGUUUGUGCAGUUACUAAAUUAGUAGCAGUCUACUAUAUACUUUUUCCCUUCUAAUUCAUUAUUCUGUCUGUUCCAUCAUCUUGCGGUGACUGCAAAUGGAUGCCUAGGCUCUCCUUAUGGUUAACUGGCCAGCACCCCAUCAUCGAUAUAAUAUGUUUUGCCUGUAUGUAUGCCAAUUAUGGCACCCAUUGCACUCCUGACCGGCCUGGAAGGAGGGAACCCCACCCUUCUCUAGAUUUAUUGCUUGCUGAUUAAGGGAGCUUUUUCUUGCCCUUGUGGGGGCUUCGGUCAGGGGAGUGUCAUAACUCCCCUGUUAUGACACUGUAAUGGUGAUUAAGGACUCUACAAAUACAAUUGUAUUCAUUUAAUCAAUCCUGAAUAGAUUGUCACAUGGUUAGGUAUUGAUCUUGACAUACUGUCCAUAAUGGCAGCAGAGAGAAAGGCAAUGAAACAUCCACUCUGUACAUCCACUCUUGCCAAUACCUAUUGAUCAUGUUUAUUCUGUCUCUAGAUUAUCCAUCUCCUUGAUCUUAUGCAAAUUACCUGCCACAUUUGCAGAUGGAUGAUUAAAAGUGUUGAUUGAUUCUCCCUUUAUUAUAUCUGGGGAAAUGCUCUUGUUUGUGAACACAAGGCGAGUUUGUGACUUGACUGCUCUCAUAUGGAUUCCUGUCGCCCUCACAACUCAUACUGUUCCCCUUGUAUUGACAACCAUCACGUUGUAUUUGCACACACACCAUUGUGUCAUGUAACUUUGUAAUUAGGUAAGGAAUUAGACCAUUGACUAAUGAGGGGUUAAUCUCAUGGUGUGAAUUAAAUCUUCAAUUGGUAAUUGCCAGACACCUGUGACAUUGAGUAUUAUACAGUACAUCAGACUACGGAUAGCUUGGUUAUUCACUCAUAAAAAAGAAAAUCCGGAUUCACAGCAGAAGUUUCCAAUCAUUCGGAUCAUUCCAAUCACAGGAGCAAAUGUGAUUCCAAUCAUUUGAAGGGUUGCAGGUAGGUCACAAACACACACACUCUCACACAUUCGUCAGUUUUCUCUCUCCGUCUCUCAUGCGUU